UACGUAGGGCGCAAGCGUUGUCCGGAAUUAUUGGGCGUAAAGAGCUCGUAGGCGGUUUGUUACGUCUGCUGUGAAAACCUAGGGCUUAACCCUGGGCUUGCAGUGGAUACGGGCAGACUAGAGGUAGGUAGGGGAGAAUGGAAUUCCUGGUGUAGCGGUGAAAUGCGCAGAUAUCAGGAGGAACACCGGUGGCGAAGGCGGUUCUCUGGGCCUUACCUGACACUGAGGAGCGAAAGCGUGGGGAGCGAACAGG
rnacentral:rRNA from 1 species